rnacentral:rRNA from 1 species
CGGCUUUGGCUAACCUACCCUUGGGACGAGUACACCUCCGGGAAACUGGAGCUAAUUCUCGUCAGGUGAGAAUUUCUGGAAUGAGUUUUCGCUUAAAGGGCAUCUGAAACAUGCUUUAGAUGUUACCCAAGGAUGGGGCCGCGACCGAUCAGGUAGUUGGUGAGGUAAUGGCUCACCAAGCCUCUGACCGGUACGGGCCGUGAGAGCGGGAGCCCGGAGAUGGGCACUGAGACAAGGGCCCAGGUCCUACGGGACGCAGCAGUCGCGAAAACUUCGCAAUACGCGAAAGCGUGACAGGGGCUAUCCCGAGUGCUGUCCGCUGAGGAUAGCUUUUUUCAAGUGUAAAUAGCUUGAGGAAUAAGGAGAGGGCAAGUCUGGUGUCAGCCGCCGCGGUAAUACCAGCUCUUCGAGUGGUGUGGAUAUUUAUUGGGCCUAAAGCAUCCGUAGCCGGCUAGAUGAGUUCUUCGUUAAAUCCAACAAAUUAAUUGUUGGACCGCGGGGAAUACUAUUUGGCUAGGGGGUGGGAGCGGUUGACGGUAUUUCCGGGGUAGGGGUGAAAUCCUAUAAUCCCGGGAGGACCACCAGUGGCGAAGGCUGUCAACUUGAACACGCCCGACGGUGAGGGAUGAAAGCUGGGGGAGCGAACCGGAUUAGAUACCCGGGUAGUCCCAGCUGUAAACUAUGCAGGCUAGGUGUUAAAGCGGCUACGUGCCGAUUUAGUGCCGCAGAUAAGUCGUUAAGCCUGCCGCCUGGGAAGUACGGCCGCAAGGCUGAAACUUAAAGGAAUUGGCGGGGGAGCACCACAAGGGGUGAAGCUUGCGGUUUAAUUGGAGUCAACGCCGGG